rnacentral:rRNA from 1 species
AUUAGAUACCCUAUUAUUUUUAAUGUAAAGGAGAAAUAAAUCAGAGUAUUAUUAGUUAGGAUCUUAAAACUUAAAGAAUUUGGCGGUACUAUAGUCUAUUUAGAGGAAUCUGUUAUAUAAUCGAUAAUCCACGUUGAACCUUACUUACUUUCUAUUUUGUAUACCGCUGUUUAUUGAAUAGACUUUAAGGUUGUUUUCUUAAUUAGAAUUAAUUAAUAUUUCAAGUCAAGGUGCAGUUAUAAGUAAGUUGAGUAAUGGAUUACAAUAGAUUUUAUUUAAAUGGAUUAUUAAUGAAAUAUAAUAUGAAAGUGGAUUUAAUUGUAAUUUCAUAAAGAUUAUUAAAAUGAAAUAAGCUCUAUAGUAUGUACACAUCGCCCG